rnacentral:rRNA from 1 species
UACAGAGGGUGCGAGCGUUAAUCGGAAUUACUGGGCGUAAAGGGCGCGUAGGUGGUUAAUUAAGUCAGAUGUGAAAUCCCUGGGCUUAACCUAGGAAUUGCAUAUGAAACUGAUUAGCUAGAGGACGGGAGAGGGAAGUGGAAUUUCCGGUGUAGCGGUGAAAUGCGUAGAUAUCGGAAGGAACACCAGUGGCGAAGGCGACUUCCUGGCCCGUAACUGACACUGAGGCGCGAAAGCGUGGGGAGCGAACAGG